ensembl:lncRNA
UGGCAGAACAGUUGAAACUGGAGCAGCAGCAUGGCCAGGUGGACUGGGGACAGCAAGGAGUCAUCAUGUCAGGUAGUCCUGGGGCAUGGUCCUAGGGCUCAGGUCCUCCGAGAGAGAGAAAGAAAGAGCGAAGGAGAGAAUUAGAGAACGCACACUUAGAUUCACACAGGACACAGAAUCGGACAGGAGAAGUACUCCAGAUAUAACAAACUGACCCUAGCCCCCCGACACAUAAACUACUGCAGCAUAAAUACUGGAGGCUGAGACAGGAGGGGUCAGGAGACACUGUGGCCCCAUCCGAGGACACCCCC